CCAGGUGGCCGGCCGUACCGGCGGGGCGCGGGGCGCGGGACCCGGCGCAAAGGACAGCACCCCACGGCCCCGAUACUCACCACGCGCGGGGGCCGCGAGGAACAACCAGAGCGCCAGCAGCGCCCACAGGGGAGCGGGGAGCAGGGCGGGCAUCUUCUCGGUCGCCUCCUCCUCCGCCGCCGCCGCCUGCGCAGAUCCACAUGGGGAGGGGGUCCCCACCGAGGGUCCCCCCACUCCCUCUCCCCUCCUCCUCCUGCUUCUGCGGCUCCCGGACUCCGCUGCGCCCCGAAGCUCAGGCGUAAACGCCUCCACUCCUUGCAACCCAAGGCUGCCGCUCCUGAGCCGCCGCCUCAGCCGCCGCCCGAAGUUUGGCUGAAACUUUCUCGGCUGUGCAGUGAAGCAGCCUCGUGUGUCCUUCCGCCUCGGCCGCCUCCUCCCGCCGCAAACCCCGCCCCCUGUCGCAGCGGCCGGGCCCCGCCGCCUUCGGCACCCAGGGGUUUCCCGCAGGAAGAAGCGCCGGCCCGAGCUGCGCGCGGAGGGAUCUACUACGAGUCCUCCGACGGCCCCUCCAGGCUUCUCUGACCCGCGUCGGGUCUGGAAGCGCCUUAACUCACUCGGCGCUGGACUGCGUCCCCUGGGCCGGGCCUCUGCUGGAGGAGGCAGAAAAUGAAACCCAGAAGUUGCCCAAGAGCACACAGCUGCUAAGCAGUGGCACAGCCCAGGUCCACCUGAAUACCUCCAGUGCCACAUAAGUGACUUCUGCAAAUUAUGUCUGCCUGCCCACAGGUCUCUGAGGCCACAGCCCUUCGGUUCCACCCAUUGUUUGGACUACUUGCCUGAGCACGGACAGGAUUGCCCAGUCUCUUGCUUGCCAGCCUCCAACCCUGGGACAACUCAAGGACUUCAUUUCCCUGCCUUUGCCACUCAGAGGAGAGAAGCUGAGACAAUUCUACAGGAUACCAUAAUGUUAAGGAAGCAUCUAAUGAGCUCAGAACCCCCGGGCCCUUUGUCACCUGGCCUUUUACCAUCUCUGGGAAAUGUGUGACUGACACAUGCUAGAUAUUUUGGAUACAUGAUCCCAUUAGAUCCUCAUAACAUUCCUGCAAGAGUACAAAGUAUCUCCAGAAAGGAGGAAUAAGACCAUAACUACAGGCACAACUAAUUUGACAAAAUAUAAAUGAUUGUUUAUUUUUAAAACAAUGCCAAAUUCAAUAAAACAAUGAUGUUUCUUUUUUUGCUGGUCAACUUGACACUUGAAGAGUAGGUUUUCCUGAAUAUUUCUCUGCCUAACUGGCGCUCUUGGCAUUGCGAAUAAACAGAGCUGAUGAUAACAUCCAUCAGAGAGCUAAGCACACAAAGUGGGUGAUAAAGUCAACAAGAAGCUGAAAACAAGAUUUACCAUGGAUAAGCUGCCAGAAGUUGGCUCUAGAUUCUAAGUGUACCCUGGCUCAUCCAUCUUACCCCGUCAGCUUUCCACCCCAACGAUGUCAUCCCUGCUUCAGCACUCAUGAUAAGAGAAGGAAACCAGGAGAGAAGGAAAACUUAAUAGUCAAGUACAGGAGAUGAAUACACAGCACAGACCAUCUGACUAAGAUAAAAUGCAAAGACUCGGUGGUAAAUUCCUACUGCAUUCUAUGAGAGAACAAAGAAGAGUAUUUUAAAAGCCAGAACAACAACCAAGGGAAGGUCCUACUCUAGAAGAGCAAGCAGACACAAAUGAUUGCUGGGCUUCCUUUAAGCAACAUUUUGUUUUGUGUCCUAGCCUACUUCAAGACCAGCUAAGCAAGGUCUAGAGCCUGUCUGUUGUAUCAAAGACUUGAAAUUGUUUUCCUUGGAUUAUUCCCAAUCCUGUAUUUUCCUUGCCUCUCUUUUCAAAAGUAGGUUAAGGAUGUUCAGAUUUCCCUUGAGCAUCUUAAUGAGUUAGUCAUGAUUACAAUUGCAUCUUUUAAAUUGCCCAACCCAUUGAAAGGCUGCCAUGAAAGGAGCUUCUACAAACACAAGCUGGGCUGUGUUUUUCAUUUUCUUAUGUUGCAAAAUGUGAAUGAGGAGUUACCUCCAAGUGUGUGAUUAGCAUAAAAGGUGCUGAAGCAGAGAAGUCCGUGGACUACUGUCUGAAUGGAAAAUGUUGCUGUUGUUCCUGCAAGUAACACCUACACUGAGACUCAAAUAAGGAGAAGCUUUCUGCUACCAAACGUGAAAGGGUUUCACAGAACUUGUGGCACAUAAUAAAUGCUCAAAAUUCG